UACGUAGGGUGCGAGCGUUGUCCGGAAUUACUGGGCGUAAAGCGUGCGUAGACGGUUAUGUAAGUCGGGUGUGAAAGCCCCGGGCUCAACCUGGGAAUUGCAUUCGAGACUGCAUAGCUAGGGUGCGGAAGAGGGAAGCGGAAUUUCCGGUGUAGCGGUGAAAUGCGUAGAUAUCGGAAGGAACACCAGUGGCGAAAGCGGCUUCCUGGUCCAGCACCGACGUUCAGGCACGAAAGCGUGGGGAGCAAACAGG
rnacentral:rRNA from 1 species